rnacentral:rRNA from 1 species
UGGGGAAUAUUGGACAAUGGGGGCAACCCUGAUCCAGCCAUGCCGCGUGUGUGAAGAAGGCCUUUUGGUUGUAAAGCACUUUAAGCAGUGAAGAAGACUCCAUGGUUAAUACCCAUGGACGAUGACAUUAGCUGCAGAAUAAGCACCGGCUAACUCUGUGCCAGCAGCCGCGGUAAUACAGAGGGUGCAAGCGUUAAUCGGAAUUACUGGGCGUAAAGCGAGCGUAGGUGGCUUGAUAAGUCAGAUGUGAAAGCCCCGGGCUUAACCUGGGAACGGCAUCUGAUACUGUUAGGCUAGAGUAGGUGAGAGGAAGGUAGAAUUCCAGGUGUAGCGGUGAAAUGCGUAGAGAUCUGGAGGAAUACCGAUGGCGAAGGCAGCCUUCUGGCAUCAUACUGACACUGAUGUUCGAAAGCGUGGGUAGCAAACA